CUAGUGGAUAGAGUGUAGAGGUGGUAGGGUAGCCUAGUGGUUAGAGUGUAGAGGCGGCAGGUAGCCUAGUGAUUAGAGUGUAGAGGCGGCAGGUAGCCUAGUGGUUAGAGUGUAGAGGAGGCAGGUAGCCUAGUGGUUAGAGUGUAGAGGCGGCAGGUAGCCUAGUGGUUAGAGUGUAGAGGCGGCAGGUAGCCUAGUGGUUAGAGUGUAGAGGCGGCAGGUAGCCUAGUGAUUAGAGUGUAGAGGCGGCAGGUAGCCUAGUGGUUAGAGUGUAGAGGAGGCAGGUAGCCUAGUGGUUAGAGUGUAGAGGCGGCAGGUAGCCUAGUGGUUAGAGUGUAGAGGAGGCAGGUAGCCUAGUGGUUAGAGUGUAGAGGAGGCAGGUAGCCUAGUGGUUAGAGUGUAGAGGAGGCAGGUAGCCUAGUGGUUAGAGUGUAGAGGAGGUAGGUAGCCUAGUGGUUAGAGUGUAGAGGAGGCAGGUAGCCUAGUGGUUAGAGUGUAGAGGAGGCAGGUAGCCUAGUGGUUAGAGUGUAGAGGUGGCAGGUAGCCUAGUGGUUAGAGUGUAGAGGCGGCAGGUAGCCUAGUGGUUAGAGUGUAGAGGCGGCAGGUAGCCUAGUGGUUAGAGUGUAGAGGCGGCAGGUAGCCUAGUGGUUAGAGUGUAGAGGUGGCAGGUAGCCUAGUGGUUAGAGUGUAGAGGAGGCAGGUAGCCUAGUGGUUAGAGUGUAGAGGUGGCAGGUAGCCUAGUGGUUAGAGUGUAGAGGCGGCAGGUAGCCUAGUGGUUAGAGUGUAGAGGCGGCAGGUAGCCUAGUGGUUAGAGUGUAGAGGCGGCAGGUAGCCUAGUGGUUAGAGUGUAGAGGAGGCAGGUAGCCUAGUGGUUAGAGCGUAGAGGUGGCAGGUAGCCUAGUGGUUAGAGCGUAGAGGUGGCAGGUAGCCUAGUGGUUAGAGCGUAGAGGUGGCAGGUAGCCUAGUGGUUAGAGCGUAGAGGUGGCAGGUAGCCUAGUGGUUAGAGUGUAGAGGCGGCAGGUAGCCUAGUGGUUAGAGUGUAGAGGUGGCAGGUAGCCUAGUGGUUAGAGUGUAGAGGAGGCAGGUAGCCUAGUGGUUAGAGUGUAGAGGCGGCAGGUAGCCUAGUGGUUAGAGUGUAGAGGUGGCAGGUAGCCUAGUGGUUAGAGUGUAGAGGUGGCAGGUAGCCUAGUGGUUAGAGCGUAGAGGUGGCAGGUAGCCUAGUGGUUAGAGCGUAGAGGUGGCAGGUAGCCUAGUGGUUAGAGUGUAGAGGCGGCAGGUAGCCUAGUGGUUAGAGUGUAGAGGUGGCAGGUAGCCUAGUGGUUAGAGUGUAGAGGAGGCAGGUAGCCUAGUGGUUAGAGUGUAGAGGCGGCAGGUAGCCUAGUGGUUAGAGUGUAGAGGCGGCAGGUAGCCUAGUGGUUAGAGUGUAGAGG